CCUACGGGAGGCAGCAGUGGGGAAUAUUGGGCAAUGGGCGCAAGCCUGACCCAGCGACGCCGCGUGCGGGAUGAAGGCCUUCGGGUUGUAAACCGCUUUCAGCAGGGAAGAAGCGAAAGUGACGGUACCUGCAGAAGAAGCACCGGCUAACUAUGUGCCAGCAGCCGCGGUAAUACAUAGGGUGCAAGCGUUGUCCGGAAUUAUUGGGCGUAAAGAGCUCGUAGGUGGUUCGUUACGUCGGAUGUGAAAACCUGAGGCUCAACCUCAGGCCUGCAUUCGAUACGGGCGAACUGGAGUGUGGUAGGGGAGACUGGAAUUCCUGGUGUAGCGGUGGAAUGCGCAGAUAUCAGGAGGAACACCAAUGGCGAAGGCAGGUCUCUGGGCCACUACUGACACUGAGGAGCGAAAGCGUGGGGAGCAAACAGGAUUAGAUACCCUGGUAGUCCACGCUGUAAACGGUGGGCACUAGUUGUGGGAACCUUCCACGGUUUCUGCGACGUAGCAAACGCAUUAAGUGCCCCGCCUGGGGAGACGANCGCAGAUAACUACAANAGAGUAGAGCGUGAGAGUCGCGAGACGACGACGAGGAGAGG
rnacentral:rRNA from 1 species